rnacentral:rRNA from 1 species
CGUGGCUACUAUGCCACCUGGUGAAUGGCUCGGCUCGGAAGCCGAUGAAGGACGUGCCAAGCUGCGAUAAGCUCUGGGGAGCCGCACGGAGGCGAAGAACCAGAGAUUUCCUAAUGGGAAUCCCCACCGCAAUUGCUUCGCGCAAUGGGGAACGCCCCGAACUGAAACAUCUUAGUAGGGGCAGGAAAAGAAAGCGAAAUGCGAUGUCGUUAGUAACUGCGGGUGAAACCGAUACAGCUCAAACUGAAGGUCUUACGACCGAUGUGGUGUAUGGGCUGACGAUCAGCAUCUGAACGUCGUCGAGAAGUCUUCUGGAACGGAGCGCGAAACAGGGUGAAAGCCCCGUAUCGACGUCAAGUACGAUGUGAGUCAGUACCGGAGUAGCGGGGGUUGGAAAUCCUUCGUGAAUAUGGCAGGCAUCUACUGCUAAAGCUAAACACUCUCCGAGACCGAUAGUGAACAAGUAGCGUGAGCGAACGCUGAAAAGUAUCCUCAGAAGGGAGGUGAAACAGAGCCUGAAAUCAGGUGGUGAUGGAGCGACGGAGCAUAGAAGGUCCUGUAAGAAACGAGGCGGCUGCGAAGCCGCAGUAGGAAUUACAGGAAGCCGGUGUUCUGUCGUACGUUUUGAAAAACGGACCAGGGAGUGUGCUUGUCUGGCGAGCCUAACCCGUCUACCGGGGAAGGCACAGGGAAACCAACAUGGCCGCAGUAGCGUGGAUUUAUCCACGUUAUCAGGGCCGCCGUGUUCAAGCGCGGGGAGUCAAGCGAGCACGACCCGAAUCCGGACGAUCUACGCGUGGGCAAGGUGAAGCAUGAUGAAAAUCAUGUGGAAGCCUGUUAGGGUUGGUGUCUUACAAUACCCUCCCGUGACCUGCGCGUAGGGGUGAAAGGCCCAUCGAGUCCGGCAACAGCUGGUUCCGACCGAAACAUGUCGAAGCAUGACCUCCGCCGAGGUAGUCCGUGAGGUAGAGUGACUGAUUACUGUGCUCGCCUCCGAGAGGAGUCGACAUGGUUGUCAAACUCCGAACUCACGGACGCUUUUGACGCGGGGAGUCCGGUGCGCGGGGUAAGCCUGUGUACCAUAAGGGAGACAACCCAGCGCCGGGUUAAGGUCCCAAAGUGUGGAUUAAGUGCGAUUGAAGGUGGUCCCGAGCCCCAGACAGCCGGGAGGUGAGCUUAGAAGCAGCUACCCUCUAAGAAAAGCGUAAUAGCUUACCGGCCGAGGUUCGGGGCGCCCAAAAUGAUCGGGGCUCAAAUCCACCACCGAUACCCGGCCACACCCGUUACAGGGUGAUUGCGUAGGUCGGCGCUCCGCGCGGGUGGAAGCACGGGUGAGAACUCGUGUGGACCGCGUGGUGACGAAAAUCCUGGUCGUAGUAGCAGCGAAAGUCGGGUGAAAAUCCUGACGGCCGAAAGGGCAAGGGUUCCUCGGCAAUGUUCAUCAGCCGAGGGUUAGCCGAUCCUAAGAGACACCGUAAUUCGAAUGUCUCGAAAGGGAAACUGGUUAAUAUUCCAGUGCCACCGUGCAGUGAAAGCUGACGCCCUGGGGUCGACCAAGCCGGGCCUUCGCCCGGUCGAACUGUCCAAGUUCGUGGAAGCCGUAAUGGCACGAAGCGAACGAACGGCAGGAUAGCGAAAGUUGGUUCAACCCGGGGCCCGUGAAAAGGCGAGCACGGUGUCCGUACCCAGAUCCGACACAGGUGCCCAUGGCGGCGAAAGCCUAGGCCUGUCGGGAACAACCGACGUUAGGGAAUUCGGCAAGUUAGUCCCGUAAGUUCGCGAUAAGGGAUGCCUGCUCGGGAAACGAGCAGGUCGCAGUGACCCGGACGCUCCGACUGUCUAAUAACAACAUAGGUGACCGCUAAUCCGAAAGGACUCGUACGGUCACUGAAUCCUGCCCAGUGCGGGUAUCUGAACACCCAGUACAAUGGGACGAAGGACCCGUUAACGGCGGGGGUAACUAUGACCCUCUUAAGGUAGCGUAGUACCUUGCCGCUUCAGUAGCGGCUUGCAUGAAUGGAUGAAUGAGAGCGUCACUGUCCCAACGUUGGGCCCGGUGAACUGUACGUUCCAGUGCGGAGUCUGGAGACCCCCAAGGGGAAGCGAAGACCCUAUAGAGCUUUACUGCAGGCUGUCGCUGAGACGUGGUCGCUAC